rnacentral:rRNA from 1 species
AACGAACGCUGGCGGCAUGCCUAACACAUGCAAGUCGAACGAGGCCUUCGGGUCUAGUGGCGCACGGGUGCGUAGCGCGUGGGAACCUGCCCUUAGGUUCGGAAUAACUCCCCGAAAGGGGUGCUAAUACCGGAUAAUGUCUUCGGACCAAAGAUUUAUCGCCUUUGGAUGGGCCCGCGUUGGAUUAGCUAGUUGGUAGGGUAAAAGCCUACCAAGGCGACGAUCCAUAGCUGGUCUGAGAGGAUGAUCAGCCACACUGGGACUGAGACACGGCCCAGACUCCUACGGGAGGCAGCAGUGGGGAAUAUUGGACAAUGGGCGAAAGCCUGAUCCAGCAAUGCCGCGUGAGUGAUGAAGGCCUUAGGGUUGUAAAGCUCUUUUACCCGGGAUGAUAAUGACAGUACCGGGAGAAUAAGCUCCGGCUAACUCCGUG